UGGGGCCUACGGGGCGCAGCAGUAGGGAAUUUUCGUCAAUGGGCGCAAGCCUGAACGAGCAAUGCCGCGUGAACGAGGAAGGUCUUCGGAUCGUAAAGUUCUGUUGAAGGGGAAAAAGAGCGGAGAGAGGAAAUGAACUCCGAUUGAUAUUACCCUUCGAGGAAGUCACGGCUAACUACGUGCCAGCAGCCGCGGUAAUAUGUAGGUGGCGAGCGUUAUCCGGAAUGAUUGGGCGUAAAGGGUGCGUAGGCGGCCUGCUAAGUCUGGAGUGAAAGGUACUGGCUCAACCGGUACAGGCUCUGGAA
rnacentral:rRNA from 1 species